GAUGAAGAACGUAGCGAAAUGCGAUAAGUAAUGUGAAUUGCAGAAUUCAGUGAAUCAUCGAAUCUUUGAACGCAUCUUGCGCUCCUUGGUAUUCCGAGGAGCAUGCCUGUUUGAGUGUCAUGAAACUAUCAAACUGCAAUUGUUUUUUAUUUAUUUAAAUUAACAAUUGCAGGUUUGGAUGUUGGAUGCUUGCUGGACAACACUACGGAUGGUCCAGCUCAUCUGAAAUUUAUUAGCUGAUCCAAGUAUCAUGGAUUAUCCACUUGGCGUGAUAAGUUAUCACCCGCUGAGGACUUAUCCAGAGAUAAUAAUAAUGGAUUGCUUCUAAUUGUAGAGAUACUGCGGUAUCUUACUGAGAAUCAUCUGACCUCAAAUCAGGUAGGACUACCCGCUGAACUUAAGCAUAUCAAUAAGCGGAGGA
rnacentral:misc_RNA from 1 species